rnacentral:rRNA from 1 species
CUCAUCGGUUAUUGCCUUAGUAGCGGCGAGUGAGCGGCAAAAGCUCAAAUUUGAAAUCUGGCACUUUCAGUGUCCGAGUUGUAAUUUGAAGAAGGUAUCUUUGGGUCUGGCUCUUGUCUAUGUUUCUUGGAACAGAACGUCACAGAGGGUGAGAAUCCCGUGCGAUGAGAUGUCCCAGACCUAUGUAAAGUUCCUUCGAAGAGUCGAGUUGUUUGGGAAUGCAGCUCUAAGUGGGUGGUAAAUUCCAUCUAAAGCUAAAUAUUGGCGAGAGACCGAUAGCGAACAAGUACAGUGAUGGAAAGAUGAAAAGAACUUUGAAAAGAGAGUGAAAAAGUACGUGAAAUUGUUGAAAGGGAAGGGCUUGAGAUCAGACUUGGUAUUUUGUAUGUUACUCUCUCGGGGGUGGCCUCUACAGUUUACCGGGCCAGCAUCAGUUUGAGCGGUAGGAUAAGUGCAAAGAAAUGUGGCACUGCUUCGGUAGUGUGUUAUAGUCUUUGUCGAUACUGCCAGCUUAGACUGAGGACUGCGGCUUCGGCCUAGGAUGUUGGCAUAAUGAUCUUAAGUCGCCCGUCUUGACCCCCGAAACC